UACGGAGGAGGCAAGCGUUAUCCGGAAUUAUUGGGCGUAAAGCGUCCGUAGGUGGCUAGUCAAGUCUGCGGUCAAAGCCUGGGGCUUAACCCUGGAAAGGCCGUGGAAACUGACGAGCUAGAGUGCAGUAGGGGUAGAGGGAAUUCCCGGUGUAGCGGUGAAAUGCGUAGAGCUCGGGAAGAACAUCGGUGGCGAAAGCGCUCUACUGGACUGCAACUGACACUCAGGGACGAAAGCUAGGGGAGCGAAUGGG
rnacentral:rRNA from 1 species